UUGGAGCUGCUGCAGGUCAGGGUUAAUCGAUCGGCUGAUUGGAGCUGCUGCAGGUCAGAGUUAAUCGAUCGUCUGAUCGACAAGAAGCGGAGCUGCUGCAGGUCAGAGUUAAUCGAUCGACUGAUCGGCAAUAGGCGGAGCUGCAGCAGGUCAGAGUUAAUCGAUCGGCUGAUUGGAGCUGCAGCAGUCAGAGUUAAUCGAUUGGCUGAUUGGAGCUGCAGCAGGUCAGAGUUAAUUGAUCAACUGAUCGGCGGGAGGCGAAGAAGCUGCAGGUCAGGGUUAGUCGAUCGACUGAUCUGCAAGAGGCGGAACUGCUGCAGGUCAGGGUUAAUCGAUCGGUUCAUCGGUGGGAGGCGGAGCUGUUGCAGGUCAGGGUUAAUCGAUCGACUGAUCGGCGGGAGGCGAAGAAGCUGCAGGUCAGGGUUAAUCGAUCGACUGAUCGGCAAGAGGCGGAGCUGCAGCAGGUCAGGGUUAAUCGAUCAACUGAUCGGCAAGAGGCAGAGCUGCAGCAGGUCAGAGUUAAUCGAUCGGCUGAUCGGCAAGAGGCAGAGCUGCAGCAGGUCAGAGUUAAUCGAUCGACUGAUCUGCAAGAGGCGGAACUGCUGCAGGUCAGGGUUAAUCGAUCGGUUCAUCGGUGGGAGGCGGAGCUGUUGCAGGUCAGGGUUAAUCGAUCGACUGAUCGGCGGGAGUCGAAGAUGCUGCAGGUCAGGGUUAAUCGAUCGACUGAUCGGCAAGAGGCGGAGCUGCAGCAGGUCAGAGUUAAUCGAUCGGCUGAUCGGCAAGAGGCGGAGCUGCAGCAGGUCAGAGUUAAUCGAUCGACUGAUCGGCAAGAGGCGGAGCUGCAGCAGGUCAGAGUUAAUCGAUCGGCUGAUCGGCAAGAGGCGGAGCUGCAGCAGGUCAGAGUUAAUCGAUCGGCUGAUCGGCAAGAGGCGGAGCUGCAGCAGGUCAGAGUUAAUCGAUCGUCUGAUCGGCAAGAGGCGGAGCUGCAGCAGGUCAGAGUUAAUCGAUCGACUGAUCGGCAAGAGGCGGAGCUGCAGCAGGUCAGAGUUAAUCGAUCGAUGUGACACGGGACAGAAAUGA
rnacentral:lncRNA from 1 species